UCCCUCGGGCAUCAGCGGGGCGGGAGCGGAGCAGCCUCACGGCCUUCAGAGCCCUGCGGGGACAGCGGGGUCAGGGACAGGGACAGGGGGACGGUGGGGACAUGGGGACAUUGGGGACAUGGGGACAGCAGGGUCAUGGGGACAUUGGGGACAUGGGGGUCAGGGACAAGGACAGGGGGACAGAGACAUGGGGACAGUGGGGACAUGGGGACACAGGGACAGCAGGGUCAUGGGGACGGCAGGGACAUGGGGACAGGGGGUCAGGGACACGGACACAGGGACAGAGACAUGGGGACAGUGGGGACAUGGGGGUCAGGGACAGGGGGACACGGGGACAGUAGGGACAGAGGGGUCAGGAACAGCAGGACAUGGGGACAGUGGGACAUGGGGACAGUGGGACAUAGGGACAACAGGAUCAGGGACACCAGGACACAGGGACAGUGGGGUCAGGGACAGGGACAGGGGGACGGUGGGGACAUGGGGGGUCAGGGACAGGGGGACACAGGGACAGUAGGGACAGAGAGGUCAGGAACAGGGACAUGGGGACACGGGGACAUGGGGACACGGGGACACGGGGACAGCGGGGUCAGGGACAGGGACAGUGAGGUCAGACACCAGAACACAGGGACAGUAGGGUCAGGGACAGCGGGACAUGGGGACAGUGGGACAUGGGGACAGUGGGGCAUGGGGACAACGAGAUCAGGGACACCAGGACACAGGGACAGUGGGGUCAGGGACAGUAGGACAUGGGGACAGUGGGACAUGAGGACAGCAGGGUCAGAGACGUUGGGAGACAGGGACACCAGGACACAGGGACAGCAGGGUCAGGGACACAGGGACAAUGGGAUAUAGGGACACUGGGACAGCAGGACACAGGGACAUUGGGACACAAGGGACACUGGGGUCAGGGACAAAGGGACACUGGGACACAGGGACAUCAGGAUGCAGGGAUAGAGGGACACCAGGAUAUGGGGACAUUGGGGUCAGGGACAGGACGGGGAUGUGGGGAUGGGGACAGGGACAGGAUAGGGACAGGGGUGGGGACAGGACCGGG
rnacentral:lncRNA from 1 species